UUUAUUUAUUUAUUUAUUUUUUGUUUUGUAUAAUUGUUAAAUGUUAUCCCCACCCCCCAUCUAAUUACUCCCUUCUUCACUCCUAAAAUUCCCAAAUGCUGAAAACCCCCAACCAUAACCCCCUUCUUCUUCAAAUUCUCUUUUCUCCAAAUUCCCAACCCAACUUCCCCAAGGUUCAAGCCACGCUCUCCCGAACUCUUCUUCACUUCUCCCCACAUUCUCUCACUACAGGUAUGAUUUCUUUUUGCCAUUUUUCUUUUUUUUACAGAUUUUCAUUUUUAUUUUUUUUAAUUAUAUAGUAGCUUUUUCUUUUCUUUUCUUAGUAUAAGUUUGUAGUGUUUGUGGGUGGUGAUGUUGGUGGAAUUGUCUCUUAACUUAGUAGGUGAUUUUGGAAAAAUUGUGGUAGUCUUGGGGGUUACAACAUAUUUGAAUUGGGGUGUGGGUAUAUAAUACCCACAAGGUGUUUGCUCAAAUGCCACAGUGAGUUAAAUGAGUAAUUGUGACCAAUCAUGCGCGUGAAGUCUGAGUAACCGCAUUGAGUCACAUUAUUUUGGAUUGUGCUAAUGUUAUCCUUUUUACAGGUACUAUGGCUCCAUCUAGGAAAUGCCGCACAAUAGGUGUUUAUUCCAGUAGUCAAGCUGGAUCGUCUAGGGCAGACGGGUCAGCUCCUGCUCGUCCCUUUGAUAGUAGCAGGUUCGUCUUUGCCAAGGCUCAGGACCGCUUUGCGGAUAAGGCCCCUAAGAAACCGAUACUAGAAAGGGGCAUAGAUAUAGGGUCGGUCCAGCUGGGCUUCCCUAACUUGUAUAAUGAGUUGGUAAGGCAGGGGCUACAAAUUUUCAUUGACGAGCCGGAUAAGGGGAAUGUGAUGGUUGUCUGUGAGUUCUACACCAAUGUAAAAGAACAUGUGAAUGGCGUAGUAACUGUGCGCAGAAAGGCGGUGGAUGCCUCUGUUAAGGCUAUACGGAGGAUAUACCAGUUGCCCCCUCUUAUGGAUCCAUUUAAGGACUAUUAUGAGGGGUAUGGCAGAUCACACACGAAGUGGGAGAUUUUUUUUGAAACAAUCUGUGUACUCAAAAAGGAAAUUAUCUGGAUGAAGUAUGGUCAGAAGUUUCACUCCACGGCCCUAACCUUUGAAGGGAAGUGCUGGUUGUAUGUUAUCAACAACUGCCUGAUCCCGUCUUCCAACACUACAGAGGUGAAUGGUCCUCGAGCGGCUCUGAUUUGGUGUUUUAUAAAUGGUUACAACUUUGACAUGGCCAAAGUGAUUCAUAAAAGGUAUGGGUUCUUCUUCCCUUCCUUGGUUACUCGACUUUGCCAGGCAGCUCGGGUGCCGGAAAAUCUGGAUGUGAAUGGGAGAGUGCCAAAAGACCACAAGUUCCGAGCAGAUAAGGUCACUACUGGGAAGGAGUCGGUGGUAGCGUGUGGUGAUGAUAGUGGUGAAUCUGAUGACUCUAAGGAAGAGGAAGCUGAGUAGGAGGAUGUGAGGGCCGAGCCACAGGCCCAUGAGCAAAUUGCAGAGACUGUCGUACCAUCUGGGGCUGCUCAGGUUACCCGAUUCACAGCUUUGGAGUGGGAGGUGGCCGGAUUGCGUACCUCGGUCGCUGACUUGGGUACACGUGUUGACGCGGUGGCUGCCUAGCAGGUGAAAUCGGAGAAGAAAAUAUUGGGCUGGCUGAGAGCUCUAGGUCUUGCUUGUAAUCUGAACCCAGACACGGUCUCCGAUCAAGUGUGAUCAUUCAGUGAAUUUUCUUUACUUCAUUGUUCGUUAUUUUGUAUGCCAUGAGGACAUGUCUACCUUUUAAGUGUGGGGUGGGGUUUACUUCAAUGUAUGUGUGUAUAUGUAACAACUUGACAGUUUGAUGUUUUCUUUGUUUUUCUUGAAUGUUUUUGGUAGUUUUGAGUAGUAGUCAAAUUAGGUAAGUUCAAAAUAGGUAAGUUGACUUGUCCCGACGACGGAUAUCUUUCGACAGGGUUCUUGAGGGUCUAAGUCGACGUGAAAAUCUGAAGAAAAAAAAAGAAAUAUGUUGGACUCUUCCUGAUGACGGAUCUUCUAGAUAGUUUUCUUGAGGGAAGUAAGUCUAAAGAAAAUACCAAAAAGAUUUUUUUUUUCGUUUUUAGGUAGUAUAGUAACUCCCCCUUGGUUUUUCUUUGGGCCACGGUUCUUUUCCAAGGGUUUUGCUUGAACCGGGUGUAGUUAGUUUUUGUUUAUUUUGUUUCUAGUUUUUAGUUAGUAUUGAUGGGCUAUGAGCUGAAAUAGAAAGAGAAACACUCGGCGUUGAUACACCUAAACACAAUAGACACUAGAGUGUAACACUUAGUCUUAGUGGUUGAUUCUUGCUAGAGUGCCUUAUAUUGUAUGUUUGUAACUGACUUGACUACUCAAGCGAGAGUGCCUUGAUGAGUAAUGUACCAUGUGUGUGUGAGUUGUACUGUAUUCUAUGAUCUACAUUUGAUGCCUAGAACUUACCCCGUGUGUUUGCAAAGCGAAAUAGUAGCUUUAUUCAGUCUUAGAAGUGAUAUAGGAAUUUCUUUGUUACGCAAGAUAUAUAAAGUAGAACCACAUAAAUGCAAUACAUCGUAGUUAACCCCGUUGAGCCUAUAAACUUGUUUCGUUGGCAACCACAUUACAAACCUUACUCAAUUGUUUGAACGGCCCAUCUGUUUGAACUCUUUUACCUCCCGUGAGCACUUGAAUGGUUAUGAAAUAUGCAAAAGCUAAAGUGUGGGGUAGUGGUUUAGUUUUUGAGUGGAACCGAUGAAAUAGAGAAAAAGGUGCAGUAUUUGAAAAAGUAAAAGAAUAAGCACCACUUAAAAAGAAAAGAGAAAAAUGAGAAUGAGUAAAUGUAGUAUUUGAUAAGUGGUGACUUGAUACAAUUGCACAUAAUGGAGAGGGAUGUUAUAAAUAGAAGUGUGNNNNNNNNNNNNNNNNNNNAGCCUACAUUACAACCAAAUGAAUCAUAAUUGAUCUUACUCUGAAUGGGCUCGAUUAGUAGAGUAGUACACUACGGGCAAGCCUAUGGUGCGUCUGUGUGGCAUAUGAAUUUUCUUUCGGAGAGUGAGAGGAUUUUGUCUACAUAAUUUCCAAUGAAACUACUCUCUUGUGUGAUGUGAGGGCAUGUGAUUCACGAAGGAAAGGUAAGUCUUUACCUCUCUAUAGAGUAAUUUGAUUAAGCACGAAUAUUGCACGGCACGUGAGAGUUGACUUUUGAGGCAAAGAUUGUUCACUACUAGAUGUAACUUUGGUGAUUUGUUCUUGGUGUGAUACGUUAGGGGAAAAGCUUAGGGAAGGAACCUUUAUAGAGUGUGGUGGAUUGCUUGAGGACUAGCAAUGAUUUAAGUGUGGGGUGUUAAUAAUAGGCUAGAUUCAUGUAAUUUGGCGACUGUUUAUGCCCCAGCUUGACUAUGUUUCACUGUUUUAGGAUAGUUAAAUGACGAUAAAUUGGCUCUAAUUGUGAAUUUCAUGUUUUGCAGGAGCGAGUUGCGCUUAUGAGGACUUAGGACUGUGUUUGGAGCUAAAUUGAAGCAAGGGAAGCCCUCGGAGCUGAGUACGUUGAAAGAAGAGAGAAAAGAAGAGCUAAAAUGAUGAUCCAGCUUAGCGCGCCCACUAGCGUGAGCGUGCUAGCCCAGGAAUUCGAGGCAGAAUACUAUGCCAUAUGUGCGGUCAUUAGCGUGCCCACUAGCGUGACCAUGCUAGUCCAGUUCUGAACAUAUAAUUCAGGGGUAAACUUGGAAGUUCGGGGGUAAUUCCACUUAACCUAUAAGAGGUCCAGCUCGCCCAAAGGGACAUCAAGAAGGUUUUUACAGAUAAGUUGAAGGCAAGAAGAGGCAAAAAGCAAGAAGGAUAAUUCAACAUCGAGUUCUUCCCUUCUUCCUUUUGUAUUUUACCAUUUAUGAUGAAUUUUGCUAUUGUUAUGUUGAACAAGAUUAUGAGUAGCUAAAUAUUUAGUCUAGGGUUUUGAUGGAACCUGUUGAAUGAUGAACUUCGUGUUAUGUUAAUAUAGUUUGCUCGGUUUAAUCUCUAUUUGUUCAACUACGUUCUUGUUGUAGAUAAUUGAUAGGGUCCUCAAUUAGCUGUGCCUAUUUAGUAUGUAUUACUUGGGAGAGAGUGCAUAUUUAGGUAAUUGUUGAAAAACACCACUCCCAAAGUAUAUGAGGAAUCAAUAACCGAGGGUUUAAAGGUGGGAUUAGGGAUAACGAAACCUUGGGUGCGAUCUAAAGUGAGUUGUAAUAAAAGCCAGCUAGUGUAACUGUCACGACCCAAAACUCAGACCUGGUCAUGAUGGCGCCUCUCGUGAAGACAAGGCCAGCCGGCACAACACUCAUUUUAACCCUUUAAUCAUUAAGAGUCAUUUUUAAGCCUUUAAUUAAACAAAUGUUUCAUAGUAUAAGUCUGAAUGAACGCUGCGGAAAUAACAUACAAGACCGACAUCGGGGUGUCUUUAGUCAUGAGCAUCUACCACAAUUAUAAACUACAUCAAGACCAACAUUGUUGGGAAAAGUCACAAUUUAUACAUAAAGAAGAAUAAAGAGGGAGAAAGCGGAGCCGCGAUUGCCAGGCAGCUACCUUGCUAACUCCGAUGAAGCUGCCACCAAGCUCAGAAAUACCUGAAUCUGCACAUGAGGUGCAGGGAGUAAUGUGAGUACUCCAACCCAGUAAGUAAUAAAAGUAAAUAAAGUCCGAGCAGUAAGAAAUGAUGAAUCCACAUUAAGGUAAACUCAGUAAGCACAACAAGCUUUCAAAUCGGAAUACGAGUCAAUCGUCUCAUUUUAAAAACCUAAUUUUUUGGUAAAAAUCAUUUGAAGAUACUUUCCAACAGUUUCUAUAGAAGUUCAAUACAAUUUGUAGUUAAAGAGGUGAGAAAUUGUAAACGGCCCCUCGGGUAGAACAUAGUUCGUAUACAGCCCCUCGGGCAAAACAGGAGUUAUAAACACCUCGUAACAUGAAAAUCUCAGUGGAAAUAGCAAAACCAAAUCAGUGAUUAAAUUCUGAAUAUCUCAUAAAACCCCAGCUUAAAUGUAAGUUGUUUAAAAAUAUUUGUUCAUCAUUUCGACAGAGGCUCAGUAUAAAGAUGAGUGAAAGCAGUAAAUAAAUCAACACAUUCGAUAGAAACUUACUGUAAAGAGGGUGAAAACCAAUAAGUUCAUAAACAGACCCUUCAGGCAAAGCAUCACUCAUGCACAUGUAUGUAUAUAUAUAGCCCUUCGGGCAAGCCUCUCAGUCACUCGUGAUUCAACUCUUACCAAUCAGCGCUCACACUCAGCACUCACACUCAAUAGGUACCAUAUAGUAACCGCUGCGGUGCAGCCCGAUCCAUAUAUCUCGUCGACGGCGCUCAUUGGGGGUGUGCAGAUUCCGGAGGGGCUCCUACAGCCCAAGCGUUAUAUCGUUGCGGUGUGCAGUCCGAUCCAACAUAUCGCUGCAGCGUGCAGGCCGAUCCAUAUACACACAUAUAUAUAUAUUGUUGCGGCAUGCAGCCCGAUCCAUAAAUAUAUAAUCCUCACAACCAAGCCCUCGGCCUCUCUCAGUCAUUAACCUCACAAUCAGACUCUCGGUCUAUCUCAGUCAUCAACCUCACAAUCGGACUCUCGGUCUAUUUCAAUCAUCAACCUCACAAUCACUCGGGCCAUUAGUGAAUCAGGGAACUCAGCCGAAACAAUUUUCACAUUUUUAAGAAGUAAAGGGAUAAAACCAGAUUUAAAUAAUAAACAGGUAAAACAUGACUGAGGAUAUGCUUUCAAAAACAAAUAGAGUGAGAAAAAAAUAGUGAAAGUGCCUCUAAGGGUCUCAACAGGUCAGCACAAGGCCCCAAACAUAGCGUACAACCCAAAAUAUAAUAUCAAUCUCUAAAAUAUGGAAUAUCAUAAGACUUCAAAUCAAAUACGCGACUUAACAGUUGUACGGGACGGAACAAGUCUCAAUCCCCAACGGUGCACGACUUCAUGCUCGUCACCUGGCAUGUGCGUCACCUCAAAAUAGCACAACGAAGUGAAAUCCGGGGUUUCAAACCCUCAGGGCGGUAUUUACAAUCAUUACUUACCUCGAUCCGGUCCAAACUCUAGCCCGUGGCGCCUUUGCCCUCACAAAUUGACCUCCGGAUGCUCCAAAUCUAGACAUAAUCAGUACAUAACCAUUAAAAUAUGCUAAGGGAACAAAGCCCACUCAAAAAUAUCCAAUUUACAUCAAAAAUCCUGAAAUUGCUCAAACCCAGCCCCCGGUCCCACGUCUCGAAAUCCGAUAAAAAUCAUGUCAAUAGAAUCCUUAUUCACUCACGAGUCUACCCAUAUCAAUUUCAUCAAAAUCCGACCCGAAUUGCCCAUUCAAAUCCCCAAAAGAAAUCUCAAACUUUUCUUCCAUUUCCCCCCAAUUUUCACUCUAAUUUCUCAAAUUAAAUGAUGAAAUUUAAGACCAAAUCAUGGAAUUAAACCAAAUAUCAAUGAAGAAUACUUACCCAAAUAGCUCCACUGAAAAUCUAUUCAAAUUUCACCUUCUCCCGAGCUCUCCAAUGGUUUUAUGAAAUUGGACUUAAACCCUCGAUUUUAAAAUAUAAACUCACUGCCCAGAUUUUCCUUCAUCGCGAACGCCGCACUACCCUCGCGUUCGCGAAGCAUACUACUUCACAGACCUGAUUUUCUUCUACGCAAAUGCAAGACCCAUCUCGCGAACGCGAUGCACAACUGCCUCGAUGCUUUGUGAUUGCGACACCUACUGCGCGAACGCGUAGAACAAAUGCACUGGAGACUCAGCUAUCCUUCUUCCUCUAUGCGAACGUGACCUACACCUCGCGAACGCGUUGACCAAAACAUCAUAACAUCGCGAACGCGAUAGAGAAAACGCGAACGCGAAGACCAUCAACCUCACACCUUCGCGAUCGCGGAACAUGCAUCACGAACGCGAAGGUCAAAAACUUGCAACACCAACAGCUGAGAUUCUGCAAUUUUCCACAAUAUGAAAUGGUUCGAUUGACCUCCCGAAACUCACCUGAGGCCUUAGGGACCUCAACCAAACAUACCAACAUAUCCCAUAACAUCAUUCAAACUUGUUCCAACCUUCGGAACACACAAAACAACAUUGAAACACCAAAUUUGCAUCGGAUUCAAGCCUAAGAAUUCCAAGAACUUUCAAAUUACGCUUUUGAUCAAAAACCCAACCAAACCACGUUCGAAUGACCUGAAAUUUUGCACACACGUCACAAAUAACUCAACGGAGCUACUGAAACUUCCGGAAUUUUAUUCCGACCCAUAUAUCAAAAUCACACCUAUCAACCGGAAAACGCCAAAAUCUCAAUUUCGCCAAUUCCAGCCUAAACCUUCCACGAACUUCCAAAACGCAUUCCGAUUACGCUCCUAAGCCUCAAAUCACCUAACGGAGCUAACCAAAUCAUAAAAAUUCUGAUCCGAGAUCUUAUACAAACAAGUCAAAUCUUGGUCAAACCUUUCCAAAUUUCAAGCUUCAAACCGAGAACUGUUCUUCCAAAUUCAUUCCGAUUACCCUGAAAACCAAAACCAACGAUUUACAUAAGUCAUAAUACAUCACACGGGGCAAGUCAAGCCCGAGAACUGGCGAGCAAAGUGCAAAAACUCAAAAACGACCGGUCGGGUCGUUACAGUAACUCGGGAGAGUGCGUCUAGUAAAUUGUCGUGAUUAUUCGGGAGAGAUUUAUGGUAAUAAGAGUGCUCAUGAUCGAUAGAUACGAUUAGGCAAAUCUAUGCGAAACAUAACAGGAAGGGAUUCCAUCAAUAGUGGAAAUCAUAACCUUUGAUUCUUCUCUUAUUUGCAUACAACCCAGUCAUAGUUAGCUUUUAGUUUACUUGCUUUCAUUCAGUUAUAGUUAGUAAAAACAUCUCCAAUUAUUAUUCAAAAUAUCUGGGAAGUUGAUUACGAAGAAUUUAGUGAGUCUAACAAGAGUAAUUGAUAGGUUAAUUCCCUGUGGAUUCGACUCUGGGCUAAAUACUCGGAUUAUAUUUGCAGCGACCGCUUUAUCCUUUUUAUAAGGCAUAGUUGGGCAUGAUAAAAGAUGGAGAGAAAGUAUGGAAGAUUAGAGUCUAACAUAAUUUUGUAUAAAAUUGAUAAUUUAUAUAUGAACUUGUAAUUAAGUUAAAACCUCAAUAGUAAAAAUAAAUAAAUUUCAAAAUUAGUAUAGAUAAGUAAAAAUCUCUUCCCUUUAUUGUAUGGGUCGAACAAUUCCUUGCUCUUACUAGAUUUUUCCAAAAAAUAAAACAGAAUAAAGUUUAUGAAAAAAAGAGUUUAAAAUAUCUUGUUAUCAUGGGUUCCCCUGAAUUCUUUAUGCUUUAGCAGUGGGAGAGCGAACGAAAGAGAUUCUCUCACACAAAAGUUUUCCCAUUAGACUCCCAAUUACUUUUUUUGUCUGGCUCCUAAUAAGUCCAAUUACUCUCAGUUAACUACUUAUAUACUUCCCCACUUGUAACCUUGUAGAAGAAACGCAUAAUAGCCGGAUGGACAUCUUUAUAUGUUCCAUUUUGAUGUCUUGGUUACUAUGUUACACGAAGUUUCAACCAGACACUAGAUCUUGUACAAAUUAACUUUAAUCAAGUUGAUGUGCAAUUUGUUUUGCUGAAUUAGACAAAGGGUGUAAUUAUCCGCUCCAAAAGCAAGUGAUUGAUUAAUUUAAAGAAACUAAAAUGUAAUGCCAAACAAAUUCCCCCCCCCCCCCCCCCCCCCACCAUACUUAUUCCCCUUGGCCCGUUCGAUUUUGUUAAAAAAAACGUACUCAAACAUCUAUUAACCAUGGUGAUUAUUAACCAUAGUUUCUUAGCAGACAAAUCUUUUUUUCAUAGCGUGUUUCUUUUUCUCUUUCUAGGUGGGAAAAGGAGAUGUUCUUUUUAAAAGGUGGACACAUUUAGUAUUUGUGAAAUUGAGAUUUAGUGUUUGUGAAAGUUAAAAUUUCGUAGGUACUUCACUAAAAUUUGAACGAGAAUCCCACGUCAAACAACUCCAUAGCCAUUAAUCCUCACCCUUUUCGAAAAUAGAAGAUUAAUAAUACCGUCCGUAGUCACUAUUUUCAGCAACUAAAACCAACUAGAACUCCAGCGAAAAUGGGGAUCUAUGGUUAGAAAGAGAAAGGAAAAAGGAGGGUCGCCAUAGUGAGUCUUUUCCAGCAAAGUCCACCAAGAUUCGAGGUGAUCUCCUGGAUGUUCGAUAUUCCGAGAAUCUAUGAUGUUGCUUGCUGGUCAUGAACCCUGAUUCGUUUGCUGUCUGGGUUUUGACAGGGUGACAUGAAGGUAAAGAAGAGAACAGGAGAGGUAGAGGGCUAGCAAAACCGGUCGAGUGGACUUACAGAAAUAGAGGAAAAAUGUGACAAAAAGAAGAUAAAGUGGGUCUGGUUGUGUGUUUUCGGAUGGAGGACAAAGGGGGUGAUGGUAUGUGGUGGUAGUAAGUGGAGGAGGGAGAGAUGAAAUGAGGAAAAAAGAGGAGUAAGAUUUGGGAUACUUCUUUUUGAUGGAGAAAAAGGAGAUGGAAUUGAAAUUUUUAUAAAGAAUAAUAUGUUAGAAUAAAUAAUGAUGUGGCAUUAAAUAAUCUGAGGUGGAUCUGAUAUGUCAUUCAUGUCAUGUCAGGGCAAGUGAGCAGGACACAUUGUUGGCCGUGUUUAAAACUUAUGUUUCGGUCGAGUUCAAGCGUCUAAUUGAAAUUUAGAAUAUUAGAAUUUAGAAUAUUCUGCCUAGAUGAAAACACAAUUGAAAACAGGACUUGAAGAAAAAAAUUAAAAAGUUUGAAGUUUUUGCAACUACAUUUUACUUCAUAACUUGUAGCUUCGUACAGAAGCAAACAACUGAAAAUAAAACUUCAAGAAAAGUUCUAACUUUUGCAAUGAUACUGUUGCUAGUGCGUUACUGUACAAAAAGACGCUCCAAAUUCUACCACUAUUCCGAUUUCCCAAAGUCUAUUUUCAAGAGGAAAUGCAGUAAUACAGAAGAAAAACACAAAGAAAAGUUUUAGGCCAUCUGGGGCAAUCCAACUGCAGACUCUCACACAAUUUAGCAUUGAAAAUGUAAUAUUACAAGAGAACAUCUCACAGGCCUAUAGGUCAAUUAUAACAUGUAGUAUGUCUAUGUCUUAUUUAAAGAGACGCAGUAUUAGCACACAAUGUAAAAAGCCAGGUGAAGUUGAUAUUAUAAGUAGACACUAGUUUACUUCCACUUCUUGAAUUUGCCUCCGAACAUCCCGCCCUUGCCAUGCUUAAACUUGCCAUGCUUUCCGUGCUUGAAUUUCCCAUGCUUGCCAUGCUUAAACUUGCCUCCAUAAUGACCGCCUCCAUAAUGACCAUGACCGCCUCCAUGUCCAUAGUGAGCAGCACCGUGUGCCAUGUGAGAUCCACUACCGUGUGCCAGGUGAUGAGCACCAUAGGCAGCAGCUGCAGCUGCAGCACCUCCAGCUAACAUCGCCCCCAUGCCCCCAUGACCUGAAAUGUAACAAGCAACAAAAGGGCAAAAAAUACCAUCAACAAUGAAAGAAAAUGUCAAAAAGUAUUUGGUCACAAAUAGCUAGCUAUUAUGAAGCACUGCUAGAAUUGUAUGUACUCUGUUUCAGUGCUCACAAUAUAUAAACUGUUCUUGUCAUAUUUGUGCCAUCUAGUUGUAAAAGAGAUUCUAAGAAAUUUAACUAGACAUGUUCAACAUAUUGUGCAAUUGCUAUAGUUACAGCUUUCUAUUACUCAUUGGGGCCUAAAUAAAUCAAUUCCAAAGAUAAUACCUGAUUGGUGUGGAGGAGUGUGGUGACCACCAGCGGGAGGAUAUCCUUGUGGAGGAUAUCCAGCAGGUGGGUAUCCUCCUCCUUGUGGAGGAUAACCCUGAGGAGGAUAUCCUUGAGGAGGAUACCCUUGCUGCGGAGGGUAAGCACCAGGCGGCGGAGGGUACUGCCCCGGUGGAUAUCCAUGACCAGAAGAAUGACCAGU
rnacentral:lncRNA from 1 species